UACUUGGAGGUUGUGGCCUUGAGCCGUGGCUUUCGGAGCUAACGCGUUAAGUAGACCGCCUGGGGAGUACGGUCGCAAGAUUAAAACUCAAAUGAAUUGACGGGGGCCCGCACAAGCGGUGGAGCAUGUGGUUUAAUUCGAUGCAACGCGAAGAACCUUACCUACUCUUGACAUCCAGAGAAUCCAGCGGAGACGCAGGAGUGCCUUCGGGAGCUCUGAGACAGGUGCUGCAUGGCUGUCGUCAGCUCGUGUUGUGAAAUGUUGGGUUAAGUCCCGCAACGAGCGCAACCCUUAUCCUUGUUUGCCAGCGAGUAAUGUCGGGAACUCCAGGGAGACUGCCGGUGAUAAACCGGAGGAAGGUGGGGACGACGUCAAGUCAUCAUGGCCCUUACGAGUAGGGCUACACACGUGCUACAAUGGCGCAUACAGAGGGCAGCCAACUUGCGAAAGUGAGCGA
rnacentral:rRNA from 1 species